UCCAGGCUGUCCCUUUCUCUUGCUGGCACCUCAGUGGGCACGGCCUCGGCGAUAGGAAAAUCCCCGCCUUGAGAAAAUGAGAGUCUGCCAGUCGCUGGCCUUCCCGGCAGGGGCAAAGACAACAGAGAGAGCAGUGAGCACUUAGCACAACCCUAGGACAUGGAAAUCAGUAAAGAUUCGUUUAUUGACUGAUUUGACAUCAACACCCAGCUGUCCACAUUCACCCUAAUAACAAAGCCCAGGAAGGUACCAAAUCGACGUGUGUUCCAAAACUGGACUCUCCUGAGUACAGCCACUCAAGCUCGGGGCCCUCCGGAGCUUGCAUUCUUGAAAUCAGAUGCCGAUUCAAGGUCACUCCAACACCUCUCCCUACAGAUGUCCUUUGCUGAGCAUCCACUGUGUCCCAGGCAUGCUGCCCGGUGCUACAGACCUGAACUUGACUCCAAGGAAGCACCCAUCUCAGCUUUCAGAGUUUUCACACCCAACAUAACCUGUGGGCUUCUUGCAAAGCCCAGGGGAGACUUUAGUUGUGAAAAUGUUUUGAAUAAGUGGAGUAUCUGAGCUAAUACUACGCUGUGUACUUCAGUGGGGUAUAUAACGGAGCUCACUAGUGAGCUUGCUGCCAGGAGGAAGAGGAACGUAGCAGUACUUGGUACCCACUGGUGGGACAUCUGAGCAGCAAUCAAGGUGUGAAUAUGUGGGAGACCAUGAGCAUCAGGUUCCCAGGGUGAAUGGGGCUAUGAAAUUAAAACUGUUUGUUUUGCUUUUG